rnacentral:rRNA from 1 species
UACGUAGGGGCAAGCGUUGUCCGGAAUCAUUGGGCGUAAAGCGUCCGCAGGUGGCAGUUCAAGUCUGCUGUCAAAGACCGGGGCUUAACUUCGGAAAGGCAGUGGAAACUGAACAGCUAGAGUAUGGUAGGGGCAGAGGGAAUUCCUGGUGUAGCGGUGAAAUGCGUAGAGAUCAGGAAGAACAUCGGUGGCGAAGGCGCUCUGCUGGACCAUAACUGACACUCAGGGACGAAGCUAGGGAGCGAAUGGG